GGCGGCGUGGAUAAGACAUGCAAGUCGAACGAGAGAAUUGCUAGCUUGCUAAUAAUUCUCUAGUGGCGCACGGGUGAGUAACACGUGAGUAACCUGCCCCCGAGAGCGGGAUAGCCCUGGGAAACUGGGAUUAAUACCGCAUAGUAUCGAAAGAUUAAAGCAGCAAUGCGCUUGGGGAUGGGCUCGCGGCCUAUUAGUUAGUUGGUGAGGUAACGGCUCACCAAGGCGAUGACGGGUAGCCGGUCUGAGAGGAUGUCCGGCCACACUGGAACUGAGACACGGUCCAGACACCUACGGGUGGCAGCAGUCGAGAAUCAUUCACAAUGGGGGAAACCCUGAUGGUGCGACGCCGCGUGGGGGAAUGAAGGUCUUCGGAUUGUAAACCCCUGUCAUGUGGGAGCAAAUUAAAAAGAUAGUACCACAAGAGGAAGAGACGGCUAACUCUGUGCCGGCAGCCGCGGUAAUACAGAGGUCUCAAGCGUUGUUCGGAAUCACUGGGCGUAAAGCGUGCGUAGGCUGUUUCGUAAGUCGUGUGUGAAAGGCGCGGGCUCAACCCGCGGACGGCACAUGAUACUGCGAGACUAGAGUAAUGGAGGGGGAACCGGAAUUCUCGGUGUAGCAGUGAAAUGCGUAGAUAUCGAGAGGAACACUCGUGGCGAAGGCGGGUUCCUGGACAUUAACUGACGCUGAGGCACGAAGGCCAGGGGAGCGAAAGGGAUUAGAUACCCCUGUAGUCCUGGCAGUAAACGGUGCACGCUUGGUGUGCGGGGAAUCGACCCCCUGCGUGCCGGAGCUAACGCGUUAAGCGUGCCGCCUGGGGAGUACGGUCGCAAGAUUAAAACUCAAAGAAAUUGACGGGGACCCGCACAAGCGGUGGAGUAUGUGGCUUAAUUCGAUGCAACGCGAAGAACCUUACCUGGGCUUGACAUGUAAUGAACAACAUGUGAAAGCAUGCGACUCUUCGGAGGCGUUACACAGGUGCUGCAUGGCCGUCGUCAGCUCGUGUCGUGAGAUGUUUGGUUAAGUCCAGCAACGAGCGCAACCCCUGUUGCCAGUUACCAGCACGUGAAGGUGGGGACUCUGGCGAGACUGCCCAGAUCAACUGGGAGGAAGGUGGGGACGACGUCAGGUCAGUAUGGCCCUUAUGCCCAGGGCUGCACACGUACUACAAUGCCCAGUACAGAGGGGGCCGAAGCCGCGAGGCGGAGGAAAUCCUGAAAACUGGGCCCAGUUCGGACUGUAGGCUGCAACCCGCCUACACGAAGCCGGAAUCGCUAGUAAUGGCGCAUCAGCUACGGCGCCGUGAAUACGUUCCCGGGUCUUGUACACACCGCCCGUCACAUCAUGGAAGCCGGUCGCACCCGAAGUAUCUGAAGCCAACCGCAAGGAGGCAGGGUCCUAAGGUGAGACUGGUAACUGGGAUGAAG
rnacentral:rRNA from 1 species